rnacentral:rRNA from 1 species
UACGUAGGGUGCGAGCGUUAAUCGGAAUUACUGGGCGUAAAGGGUGCGCAGGCGGUUAUAUAAGACAGAUGUGAAAUCCCCGGGCUCAACCUGGGAACUGCGUUUGUGACUGUAUGACUAGAGUACGGUAGAGUAGGGGUGGGAAUUCCGUGGUGUAGCAGUGAAAUGCGUAGAUAUCAGGAGGAACACCUGUGGUGUAGACAGCUUCUGGACCACUUCUGACGCUGAGACACGAAAGCGUGGGUAGCAAACAGG